rnacentral:misc_RNA from 1 species
GGCGAAUUGAAUAAUCUCUAGGUACAAGAUGACACACGGUCAAACUGGAAAUAGAGAUCCGGCCAGGAUCCCCCACGUAAUUCGCAAACUCGUUUCUGGAGCAGACAGGUAAUCAGGGUCUAGGAAACACGUGUCCUUUUCUUUCACCAUUUGUUUAAAGGUAAGUUUUUCCCUCUCCAACCUCCAUAUCUAAGCCAGCCACCGGUUGUUCGGUUUCUGCUUGCAUCUCGUCAUUUCAUUUGGUUGUGAUCGUCUCACCUGUAAAUGUAUUGUUAGAGAGAAAAGUACAGAGCAAAAAAUGACCAGUAAAUUGCUGGAUGAAGUCCGUGGAUUCGAAAAGGGUUGCUUCUUCGACCUUGGCCACCCUCUCCUCAACCGCAUCGCCGAGAGCUUUGUCAAAGCCGCUGG